GAAGCCUGCCAGACCGCCGCUGGUGCAUAGCUGAAAAGCCGACGCGAAAGCAUCGGGUCGAAAGAUCGCACUGGAGGAACGUCCGGACUGCACAGGACAGCGUAGGAGGUAACACCUCUCCACCGUGAGGUGAGGAUCAGAGCAACAGAGACGAGCCGGUUAAGUCCGGGUGAAACGGGCAAUCUCUACGCGCAGCAACACCAAAUAGGCCAGCCCAGGAGGGCGGCGGUUCGCCGCUGUUUUCUUGACUUGUGGUUCCGCAAGCCGUGCUGGCGGGUAGGUGGCACCGAGCCGGGCAGGCGACUCCCGGCCCAGAUUAAUGGCGGUCACACGGGCAACCGAAAGGAAGCCCGGCGCACAAAAUCCGGCUUAUCGGCAGGCUUCACAC
rnacentral:RNase_P_RNA from 1 species